GCCUUUGUGGUGAAAUGAUAAGACACAUGAAACUCAAAAUCUCAAGCUAAAGAGCGUUGAGGUUCGAGUCCUUUUAAGGCA
rnacentral:tRNA from 1 species